rnacentral:rRNA from 1 species
AAUGAACGCUGGCGGCGUGCUUAACACAUGCAAGUCGAACGAGAAAGGGAUUGCUUGCAAUCCUGAGUAGAGUGGCGCACGGGUGAGUAACACGUAGAUAAUCUACCUUCAAAGCUGGGAUAACUAUUCGAAAGGAUAGCUAAUACCGGAUAAAGUGUUUUAGCAUAAGUUAAAACAUGAAAGAUUGCCUCUUCUUGAAAGCAAUUGAUUGGAGAUGAGUUUGCGGACCAUUAGUUUGUUGGUGGGGUAAAGGCCUACCAAGACUACGAUGGUUAGCUGGUCUGAGAGGAUGAUCAGCCACACUGGAACUGGUACACGGUCCAGACUCCUACGGGAGGCAGCAGUGAGGAAUUUUGCGCAAUGGGGGCAACCCUGACGCAGCAACGCCGCGUGAGUGAAGAAGGCCUUUGGGUCGUAAAGCUCUGUCGACAGGGAAGAAAUUAUAAUCAUCCAAUAGGUGGUUAUAUUGACGGUACCUGUAGAGGAAGCACCGGCUAACUCCGUGCCAGCAGCCGCGGUAAUACGGGGGGUGCAAGCGUUAUUCGGAAUUAUUGGGCGUAAAGGGCGCGUAG